rnacentral:rRNA from 1 species
GACGAACGCUGGCGGCGUGCUUAACACAUGCAAGUCGAGCGGUAAGGCCCUUUCGGGGUACGACGAGCGGCGAACGGGUGAGUAACACGUGGGUGACCUGCCCUCAGCUCUGGGAUAAGCCUGGGAAACCGGGUCUAAUACUGGAUAUGACUCCAUGACGCAUGUUGUGGGGUGGAAAGCCUUGUGCGGCUGAGGAUGGGCCCGCGGCCUAUCAGCUUGUUGGUGGGGUGAGGCCCUACCAAGGCGACGACGGGUAGCCGGCCUGAGAGGGCGACCGGCCACACUGGGACUGAGACACGGCCCAGACUCCUACGGGAGGCAGCAGUGGGGAAUCUUGCGCAAUGGGCGAAAGCCUGACGCAGCGACGCCGCGUGAGGGAUGACGGCCU